AGCAGAUUGGACCCGCAGCUCCUCACACCGUUAGUUAGCUGAGGGAUUUUUACCACAGAAAGGCCAUGGACGGAGCAGCUAAUUGGCAGGGACGUGGAGGUGAUGAGGAGGUGAUGCGUUACUUCGUGGCUGGAUCCCCAAUCAUUUAUGAAUUUAUAGAACUUCUUCAAGGUCUAAGUCCAAAGCUGAAGGAGGUGCCUACAGUGGAAAAGUGUGACUUCAUUCUGUUUUUUUCCCCAAGUUUUUCUGAAGCCAAAACUGCCAUUGAAAGUGCUUUGCUAGAGCUUCAUCACACUGAACCGACCAAGCCUGUUCUUCUAGUGGUGCUCCAUUACACAUUAGAUGGUGACAUCAGCAUAUCAGAUAGCAGUGAAUAUUUAAGAGAGAGCACCCUCACAGUGGACUGUCUGAUCUCCAACGACGAGAAUCUACUGCAGUGCACAAAGAAUAAUGAAGCACUGACCAAAGCUAAAGAAUGGAUCCAGUCUGAGAUAGAAAAAAAGAAGCCUGAAAUUCAACAUGAGCAUCCCUGUGCAUCCAUAGAUCUCGCUAAUCAAAUUGGAACAGAGGAGGAAUGUGAUGGCGUUCUGCAUGACAUUGAUGAAGCAGAGCAAAUACUAAAUGACCUGCCAGCCUCCAGACUUGCUGUGCUUUUUGUGCUACAUUACACAUCAGACCCAAACAUCAGAGUAUCAGACAGCAGAUCUGUAAACAGAAGAAAUACACUCACAGUGGACUGUCUGAUCACUGAGGAUAAAAGAUUUCUGAUCUGCCCUCAAAAUGAGAGAGCAGUGUGCAAAGUUUCAGAUUGGCUAAUUUGUGAGGUUGCAGAGGAAACAUCAACUGAUUAUACACCACAGGUAGAAACUAAGCCUGUGAAAAUUGUUGCUCACAUCACUGGGAGAACAAAGAGAUUUUUUGAGGAGUUUGUGAAAAUUCUCUGCAAACAAACACCCACUCUGCAGGUGUCUACAGUGGAGGAGUGUGAGUUUGUUUUGGUUAACCCAGACCUCACUGUAUCAGACAGCCACAGAGCUGUAACCAGAGAGAAAAUACUCACAGUGGAUUUUCUGUUUUAUGAGGACAAAGUGUUACAGAAGUACGCUCAAAAUGAUAACGCUCCUCCUGAGGAAUCAAAGGCAACAAAAUCCAAGGGCAGAAAUAAAAGGCCAUGUCAGUCACCUCCUGUAGAAACCAAGCCUGUAAACAUUUUCUCUUGUGUUACUGGGAAAACCCUGGGCUCCCAUGAGGAUUUUGUGAGAUCUCUCUGCAAACGAAGAACCGCUCUACAGGAGGUUCUCACAGUGGAGGAGUGUGAUGUUGUUCUGGUUUUCUGUCCUGUUGUUUCCCGAGCUGGAACUGACAUUGAGGCAGCACUGCAAAAACUCAGUGGUAUAUCUGCCACUAAGCCUGCUGUUCUAGUGGUGCUCCAUCACACAUUCAACCAGGAACUCAAUGUAUCAGACAGCAGCAGAGCUGUAAACAGAGAGAAAACACUCACAGUGGACUGUCUGUUCCAUGAGGAUAAAGGUCUGCUGCAGUGCAUAAAGAAUGAUGAAGCUUUGUGUAAAGUGGCAGACUGGCUCAUUCCUGAGGGAUCAAAACCACCCAAAUCCACCGUCAAGGAAGAUCAACCAAAUGAGCCACCUCCUGUAGAAACCAAGCCUGUAAACAUUUUCUCUUGUGUUACUGGGAAAACCCUGGGCUCCCAUGAGGAUUUUGUGAGAAUUCUCUGCAAACGAAGAACCGCUCUACAGGAGGUUCUCACAGUGGAGGAGUGUGAUGUUGUUCUGGUUUUCUGUCCUGUUGUUUCCCGAGCUGGAACUGACAUUGAGGCAGCACUGCAAGAACUCAGUGAUAAAUCUGCCACUAAGCCUGCUGUUCUAGUGGUGCUCCAUCACACAUUGAACCCAGACCUCACUGUACCAGACAGCAGCAGAGCUGUAAACAGAGAGAAAACACUCACAGUGGACUGUCUGUUCCAUGAGGAUAAAGGUCUGCUGCAGUGCAGGAAGAAUGAUGAAGCUUUGUGUAAAGUGGCAGACUGGCUCAUUCCUGAGGGAUCAAAACCACCCAAAUCCACCGUCAAGGAAGAUCAACCAAAUGGGCCACCUCCUGUAGAAACCAAGCCUGUAAACAUUUUCUCUUGUGUUACUGGGAAAACCCUGGGCUCCCAUGAGGAUUUUGUGAGAAUUCUCUGCAAACGAAGAACCGCUCUACAGGAGGUUCUCACAGUGGAGGAGUGUGAUGUUGUUCUGGUUUUCUGUCCUGUUGUUUCCCGAGCUGGAACUGACAUUGAGGCAGCACUGCAAGAACUCAGUGAUAAAUCUGCCACUAAGCCUGUUGUUCUGGUGGUGCUCCAUCACACAUUGAACCCAGACCUCACUGUACCAGACAGCAGCAGAGCUGUAAACAGAGAGAAAACACUGACAGUGGACUGUCUGUUCUAUGAGGAUAAAGGACUGCUGCACUGUAGGAGGAAUGAUGAGGCUCUCAGCAGAGUUUCAGAGUGGAUUGACACUCAGGCAGGAAUAAAGACAAAUGUGGAACCUACAGCUGAUACAAUCCAAACCUAUGCGCAACAGGCAUUAGCUGAGGCAUCAGAAGCAAUUAAACAAUUUGGCAACUCGAUGGGGAAAAUGACUAGAAUGCUUUGGAGAUAUCCGAAGAUACCAAAUCCUUUGUCUUUCAUACAGAAGAACAUGGGGUCGAGUUCUGUAACAGGAGUAAGUCAAGAUCUGCCACAGGUCAAACUCUGUCUUGGAAAGCUUAAUUUUUUCACUUGUGUUACUGGGAACACUCUGGAGUCUCAUAAGGAAUUUGUGAGACUUCUCUGCAAACGAAGAGCAGAACUGCAGGAGGUUCCUACAGUGGAGAAGUGUGAUGUCAUUCUGGCUUUCUGUCCUGUUGUAUCAGCGGCUGGUAUUGACAUUAAAAACGCACUGCAGCAACUUAAUGAUGUAUCUGGUUCUAAGUCUGCUGUUCUGGUGGUGCUCCAUCACACAUUUGACCCAGAGGUCAUUGUUCCAGACAGCAGCAGAUCAGUAAACAGAGAGAAAACACUGACAGUGGACUGUCUGUUCCAUGAGGAUAAAGGACUGCUGCACUGUAGGAGGAAUGAUGAGGCUCUCAGAAGAGUUUCAGAGUGGAUCGAGGUGAUACUGAGGAUCAUAACCAAGUUAUGAUCUGAAAAGUUAUCUGAAAAGUAUUCAUGAAAAUGAAGCAUCUAGUUCUCCUCUUAAAUAUUUCUGUAUUACAAAUGGAAACACACUGAAUACUCGGUUAGAAUUUCUGAGAAUACUCAAAAAAGACUUACCAGCACUGCAGGAGGCGUCUUCAGUAGAGGAGUGUGAUGUCAUUCUGGAGUUUUGUUCUGUCAGUCCAGCUGUUGAUAAUGAGGCCGUUCUGUGAAGAAUUGGCGCCAGCAAGCCUGCAAUUCUAGUGGUGCUUCAUAAACUUUCGGAUCCAGAGAAAACAAUAAGAGACAGCAGCAGGUCUGUAACCAGAGAGGAUGGAGUCACAGUGGACUGUUGGUUUCUUGAAGACAGGGGUAGACUGGAAUACCCAGAGAAUUCAGAGGCUUUCAUUAGGGUUUUGAAAUGGUUGAGAACUAAGGGGGGUGUCACAGGAAGAGAGGAGGAUGGAGUGGGAACCCACAGGAGGAGGACAUGAGGAGCCUGGAUCAGCUGGUAGACCAUGAAGAUCAUCCAGAAAUGUGUUGAUCAACCCAGAAAACUGCACAUACAAAGUGAACAUACAUUUUGUUGAGCUAACAUAAUAUGAACUAUGGGCUCUGUUCAAGCUUAUUUGUGUUCUGUUAAUAUACGUUUUACUUAGUAUUGAUUAUUAUGAACGGAUUCAUUUUCAUAAUGCCUCUUAACAAAGCCACAUCAAGGUGAACAUUGGCCCCAGACUAUAAAUCCUGGGGGCACCUCCAUUGCUCACACACAUUGCUCUUGUCUGACAUAAAGUGAGAGUUAAAGGGGGGGUUUGUCUCUGAUGUUCAACUUAACCCUUUUAUUUUGAAGGAGCAAUUUACACAAUAUAGCAUGGAAGUAAGUAACAAUACCAUAACUUCAGCCCUUUUAUGGAGCUGUUUUGAACUGUUUAGAGAAAGCGAGUUCAUUAGAUAGUGGUAGUGAUGCUGCUGUGAUAUUUGACAUGUUUUUUCUUCCACAUUUGCUACACAGGGUAUAGCUGUAUUUCAUAUAACCGAAUUUACAUAAUCACGUAGAUUUAAGCUAAUCUUCUAACGUGGUUCAAAAGCUUAUGAAGGGUAGUUGUCGAUGAUCACCAGUCAUGGUAGUUUCAUCAUUCACUUUUGUUUAUUUGUUUGUGUUUCGUUCAUUGAGUGCCUUUCGUCUGAUUAUAAAUGCUACUUUAUGCUGAGCUUCACUUGGUGGCCUAAUAAGAAGUAAUACAUUACUGUUAACUCAGUAGAACUACUGUAAAAGACACACUUAUUAGGUUUCUCUUUCCACAUUGCAUGUAUGUAGAUACUGCUUGGCAUCCACAAAGCAAGGAUUCUCAUUAUCAAAAUGCUGUCUGAGUAAUCCGUCUUGGGAAACACAAUGCUGAUCUACAGGGAUCUUCUUCACUGUGCAUGUCAAAUCCAAACUAGAAACGAUGUAUGUGGUAUUGUUUGCAAUCUGUGUUGUCGUCUAACUGCGUGUAUGCCACGCUUUUAUGAACUGCACUGUACACUCUCAGAAAAAAAGGUAUGACACUGUCACUGGGGCAGCACCCUUUUUGUCACUGUGGUGGUACCCUCAGGGGUACAUCUUAGUACCUUUAGUCAGGGAACAUAACUGUACCAGAAUCUGUUGAAAUGAUAUUCUCUAAGUUGUGCUGACUCCACACACCCUGUCUUAAAACCGCUGUUGCACCUUUGAGGGUGCACUUACAUUGUUUGUACCUUGAUGAACGAAUCAUGUACCUGCAUGGUGUCUUUGUUUCUAACAGUGUAAUGCUCCAUGUGUCUUAUGCUGCUUUCAUAUUCAGAAUUAAAUAUUCGUUUUCAAUAAUGA